rnacentral:tRNA from 1 species
GUGGCUUAGUGGUAAAGUGUUUGCCUUGCAUGCAUGAGGUCCUGGGUUCAAUUUCUCAGC